rnacentral:rRNA from 1 species
UGCUAAUACCGGAUAACAACACUAGACGCAUGUCUAGAGUUUAAAAGAAUGGUUCUGCUAUCACUCUUGGAUGGACCUGCGGUGCAUUAGCUAGUUGGUAAGGUAACGGCUUACCAAGGCAAUGAUGCAUAGCCGAGUUGAGAGACUGAUCGGCCACAUUGGGACUGAGACACGGUCCAAACUCCUACGGGAGGCAGCAGAG